rnacentral:rRNA from 1 species
AGCUGGCGGCAUGCCUUACACAUGCAAGUCGAACGGUAACAGGUCUUCGGAUGCUGACGAGUGGCGAACGGGUGAGUAAUACAUCGGAACGUGCCCGAGAGUGGGGGAUAACGGACCGAAAGCUUUGCUAAUACCGCAUACGAUCUACGGAUGAAAGCAGGGGACCGCAAGGCCUUGCGCUCAUGGAGCGGCCGAUCGCAGAUUAGGUAGUUGGUGGGAUAAAAGCUUACCAAGCCGACGAUCUGUAGCUGGUCUGAGAGGAGGACCAGCCACACUGGGACUGAGACACGGCCCAGACUCCUACGGGAGGCAGCAGUGGGGAAUUUUGGACAAUGGGCGAAAGCCUGAUCCAGCCAUGCCGCGUGCAGGAUGAAGGCCUUCGGGUUGUAAACUGCUUUUGUACGGAACGAAAAGACUCUGGUUAAUACCUGGGGUCCAUGACGGUACCGUAAGAA